CAAUGAAGUAAGAACAGUAAAUAAGAGAGAGAGAGAGAGAGAGAUAGAGAGUGAGUGAUGGGUCUAAUUAAUUAAAGAGGAAGAAGCGUUUUUUAGACUUUAAAAAAGAAAAAGACAGAUAAACAUAAUCAGACUGGAUGGUUUAUAUGGAGAGCAUAUUUAGAAGGAUGAAAGGAUCAUCGUCAUCAUCAUGGUUAUUCUCUCGCUCUCCUCUCGUUACUGGUGUAAAGCCCCACCUUGCCCUUCAGUCUUUUCUUGCGUUCAUCAUCAUCAUCAUUCUCACCCUCCCCCUUUCCUUUCCAUCCCCUCGUUUCUGGUGAAGCAAACGCUCGCAAUACACCAACCCACUUUUUCUCUCUCUGAAACUGAAAGAGGAGCGAUGUUAGGGUUUUCAGGGAAAGACAAGGGUUUUUU
rnacentral:lncRNA from 1 species